rnacentral:rRNA from 1 species
UACGAAGGGGGCUAGCGUUGCUCGGAAUCACUGGGCGUAAAGGGCGCGUAGGCGGAUCUUUAAGUCGGGGGUGAAAGCCCAGGGCUCAACCCUGGAAUUGCCUUCGAUACUGAAGAUCUCGAGACCGGAAGAGGUAAGUGGAACUGCGAGUGUAGAGGUGAAAUUCGUAGAUAUUCGCAAGAACACCAGUGGCGAAGGCGGCUUACUGGUCCGGUACUGACGCUGAGGUGCGAAAGCGUGGGGAGCAAACAGG